GCGAGCGAGGCAGCGAGGUGAGCGGCUCCCAGUCCUCGGCGACUGGCCGCUGGCCCCUCCCGCCACGGUCGCGACGCCUCUGAGCGAGCACCGCAAAGCCCAGAGGACGCGGAGAGGGGAAGGAGGCUGGGGGCGCGGCGAGCCCCCGGUCACCAUCGCACGGCGCUGCGGCGGACGCGGCCGGCUCACGUUGCAAAACCACCUGUUCGAUCCGAAGGGAGCUCCCCCCACCCCCACGCAGCUCUGCUCUCCUCGCAGGUGACACCUCGGUUCCCCCAAAGAUAAUUUUUUUUUAAUGGAGCAAAUGCACAUCCGGGAAAGAAUAUGGAAGGUAGACUGGAUUAAACUUCCUCCCCUCACACACUUGGAAGCCCCCCGCACUCCCGGGUACACGCACGCUGAGGUGAAUUCGAGAGCCUCACACAGGCAGCCCACACGCUCAUUCCACCGCGGAACGACAGCACAGGUCAAGGUUCGAGCAGCCACAUCCUUCCCGAAAACUGCACAAGUGAGAGGGAAGGGGAGCGGGAAGGGGCAAUGAACCAGAGCCACCGCCAACGAGCCACACAGAGGGCGGAGAGGGGGAAGCCAAAGGGAAACAUUCGCAAAUGCAAAAGGUAAAAGUGCCCACGGGCAGCACCAGCCCUUUCUUACCGAUGUGAAUGAUCGAAUCCGCAUUCGCCGAGUCCCAGGUUCGAGACAACCAGGCGGACAAAACCAAGAGCAAGGGGAAAACUUCCAUCUCCUCCUACGCUGAUUCUCUUUUAGGAUAGAUUUCCUUUCAAUAUUAAAAAAAAAUUUUUUUUUUCGAAGUCCAAAGAGUUUGAGGUCACGACAGAGUUUAGCACAGCUUUUUUUUCUUUUUCUCAAUUCCUGUCACCAGAGCAAAGCUUUUAGUCGUCGUUGAGGAAGGCAGAGCGAAGAAGAGGAGCCCAGCCGGAGGAAAGCGCCUUCGCCAAGCCGUGUCACUUGGAGGGGAAUUCUGGCAUCGCCAGAGUUGUUUGCAGUUUGGCUUUUUAAAAAUGUAUCCAGCCUGGCUGCUCCCGGGCAGGGGGAGAGGCUGGAGCUCAGACCAUCCCCAUCGCUGCGCGGGGGCCGCGGGUCUCCGGUCCCAGCUCCGCCGCAACUUCCAACAGACCACCCCCCCGCCUUCACGCCGGAUGUUCCCCUCCCCCUCCCCCCGCCGAAAAAGCCCCCUCCCCCCGCCCCAACGGCCCGCAGAGAAUCACUUGUCUUCGCUGCCAAAAUAAAAUCUAAGUGCAAAGGAAAGAUUAGGAGAUUCCAAGCGGAGCGGCCAGAUUCCAGCAGGGAGAGCAAAAAGCCCUCUCCAAGAGGGGUAGUAAAAGUGAACUUCAAGGUCAGCCUUGCACUGACUCACCACUUUCUACUCUGUCAAACUGUUUUCCCCAUGACACGAGUGCAAUUUUAUCUUUGAUUUCCCCUUAUGCUUAGGAUACAUAAAGUCAAAGGAGAACAUUGCCCUGAUCCUAACAAUAGGAAAGUAUUGGAUGAUCUAUAAAAAUAUAACUUUCUUGGAAGCUAUCAGAGAGCUGAAGUGGUGAGACAACAAAGUAAACCAAAUUCCAAAGAUUGGCAGAUAAGACACAAAAUGCUUCACUUUGUCAGAGAACGAAGGAAAAAUUUGGUCCAUCAGGUAAGAAGAAAUCCAAAAAACAUUUAAUAAAGACCUAAAGGGUAAAUUUGAGGUAGCAUAAAAGUUUAGAAUAACUGGGAACACCCAGUGCAAGAGGGUUUACACUCACUCCUAAGCUCUUUUCUAUGAAUCUUCUAAGGGGUUCAUGGAAAAGAAUGAGAUCAGGUCAUGACACCAGAAAUACUCCAUGACUGCAAAAUAGAAGUGGAACAAUAUCAAAAUAUGGCUCAAUUCCUUGGGCUCUUCUUAUUAAGAAGAAAAAUGCUUUAAGCUGCUGAGGAAGGGAGAGCAAACCAUCUUGUAACCAGGGAUCAGACAAAGAUCCAAUGCUUGAGAAGAAGCAAAAAUGCAUCACUUUCUGGGGAAGGGUCAGUUAGUUCUGCUUUCUGACAUCAGAAACCAAGAAAAUAUUUUAGGAGAGUGAUAGAAUCAAAAUUGUCUGCCACUGGGGGACAGAAGAGAAAACGUUACAGAUCUAUAGACACAGAGAUAUACUAUUUCUAGGAACAAGGAGGAGUAAAAUUCUCUCUCCUGUUUAAGAACAUCCACAGAUAUGUCUGACUAUGGCUAUCAUUGAGAUGAGAGAAACAAGAGUAAUACCAAACUUGCCUUUCUGACCCUCAGGGACACAAGUAUUGUCUACAAUUGAGAUCUCACUAGAAGAAGCAAAAACCCACUCCCUGCCCCCACCAUGAGCCUAGAAUGGAAUAAUAAACAGUGGUAGAGAGAAAAGAAUGUGAAGAGAAACACACUAUUUGACACAGUCAUGCAACAGAUUUGGAAAGCUGAGGAUGAAGCAGAAAUACUGAAAAACCUAGCACUAUGGUUCAGGCAGCCCACCACUGAAGCAGUUUGAAGGAUAACAAUAUCAACAAUACAACACAAAUCCAACUGAAUCAUUUACUGCCAUUGUUAACAGAAGAGUUGUAUUCAUUUCCAGCUGUAAAUAUUCUUUAUCUCAGACUCUACUGUUCUUCAGUUGACCAUAUUCAGUGUAAUUCUAAAAUUACGUGGCAAACAAAGAAGCAAGAAAAAAAAAAAAAAAAA
rnacentral:lncRNA from 9 species